UGCCCUCACAGACGUGCGGUUUAUGCUCCUCUGAGGCAGCGGUAGUGGCUGGGAGUUUGAAACCUGGUCGGUACAGAUAGAAGAUACUAUGGAGACGUGUUUUAUUCUCAGCAUUUGGAUAUUCAGUCUCCUAGGUGCUGCGUUCGGUAACUCGGUUCAGUCCAAGGAAGCCGAAGUAUCUGGAUCAGUUGGAGGUUCUGUGACACUCAGCUAUUCUUACACCACUAGCGAUAGCUAUGUCUAUCUCCAUUGGUUCCGUCAGUAUCCGAAUCAAGCCCCGCAGUACAUUCUCUGGAAAGGAGCGAAGUCCAACAGCGGCCAAAGCAACACUGCAAAUUUCGCUCAGAAGAGGUUUUCUUCCCAGGCUGAUGACAGCUCCACAGUUCUGAAUAUCAGAGCGCUGGAGCUGGCGGACAGCGCGGUGUAUUACUGCGCCCUGCGUCUGGCACAGUGACAGAGCCACACAGGAGAGCCGUACAAAAACCCUCCCUUCCCAGCUGCAGAUAAUGUUGUGCUCAUUGAGGUUGGAAGCGGAGCCCCUCAGGAGUUUUGCUAGACUGUUAAAAACACAUAUUCUGUCUCGGAUGUGGUGCUGUCAGAUUACUCCUUCCUAAUCUCUCCAAAGCGCCAAAUUCUUAUUCAAACAGCUGCAUUAAAACAGUGGCUUCCAUAUGAGGAGAGAUUAAUAAAACUGGGACUUUUUCAGCUUGGAAAAGAGACGACUAAGGGGUGAUAUGAUAGAGGUGUAUAAAAUCUCGACUGAUGUGGAUAAAGUAAAUAUGGAAGUGUAAUUUAUUCUUCUCCUAAUACAAGAACUAGGGGUUACCGAAUGAAAUUAAUAGGCCGCAGGUUUAAAGCAAACAAAAGGAAAUAUUUCUUCGUGCAAUCCAUAGUCAACCUGUGGAACUCUUUGCCAG